GGGCGCGCCGAGUCCUUGCUCUAACCCUAAUUGCGCUUCUGAAUUCCAGGGGGCGUGGCCAAGCCCCAGACUCGCCGGCCCCUGGACCACUUCACUUUCCCUUUUUGCUCUGGUCCCAGAGCAGUGUCGGGAUCUGGGAGCCCUGGAUGGGGACAGGUGGAAAAAAGGCUGAUUUUUGAGGGAGAGGGCUCCAGGAGAAUGGCAUGGAGACCCCGAAGCGAGCCCCGAGCCUUUCCUGACACCACAGAAGAAACUGAAGCCAGUGAGGACACCUGGGCGGGAGUUGGAGCCUGGGGAAGGGCCCAAAGGGCCCUUUGGUUUAGCGGAAGUUGUUCGCUGCAGGCUGGUCCGGGACUUGGAGCGACCUGACGUGGGAGGAGCUGGAAAAUUCAAGCUGUACCUGGUGGGAUUUAUCCCCAGGUGCUUGCUGAAGAAGGCCGAUCGCACAAAAGUGGCAGAUCUCCUGGUCAUUUUUCUUGGUCAGCAGGAGGCCUGGGAGAUUGCUCUAAGCAUCUGGAAGAAGAUGGGCCUGAGGGAGCUGUGGGAGCAAGGCAGGAAGGAGGCUCUUGGAUUAGUUCCUGCUACAGUUCUUCCAGCCGCCUCAGGUCUGUAACCACUGUCAAUGUACAAGUCUAGGCGCAAUUAGCGUGUUUUUUUUCUCAUCUGUCAUCCUGGAGCUCAGAUUGUCUGUUAAUGGGGUGCCAUCAGUAAAAUUUAAGGGGAUGUGCUGCAGGAACCUGGACCAAUUCCCCAACCAUUGAGUGAAGUAAAAUUUUGUGGGUUCUAGAAGAUAAUAUAUCUCCUAGGAGGGCAAGAUGGAAAAAUACUGCCAGUGCCCUUAUUUAUUAUAAGGUGAAAUGGUCAGACCUAUGCUGUAUUGAUGUUAGAGGUAGUAGAGAACUGCUGGAGUUUAUUGAUGAGAAGAAUGACAUGAUCAGACCAAAUGUUGUAGCCCUCUAUGUGAAAUAGGGAGGAGAAAGGGAAACACACUCGUGAGAUUUCAAUGUUCAAAUGAAAUUUGCUAAAGGAUAUUCCUUACAGAUAUCUAGAGAAAGCAUAGGAAGCUGCAGGCCUCCUACUCCGUAUCCAGGCUGAGGUGAUGAUUCGGCACUUACCCCAACUCUGAUGUGUUUUACAGAUUCUCUCUCCUUUUUCAGGGUUUUAGUAUAGUUACUUGUGGGUAACAAGGGAUUAUCUUCUACCUCUGCUUUCAGAUCUGUGCUUUGGGUUUUUUUGAACACAGUGAUUGGUUG
rnacentral:lncRNA from 1 species